UCCACUCAUUACCUUUUAAUGCUUGUGAAUAAACAUAUAAAACUCAAACCUUAAGAAUUGGUGGGAAAAAUUGAAAUAUCAACUACACAUGGUAAACCAGUAGGAUUGUCACAGGAAUAUACACAACAACUUAACAGGCACUGAAGGACAGAACAUCUCUCACAGCAGAAAGACCAGAUCUCAGUCCCUUCCUGACUCACAUCUUCAGCUGUGGGUGGAGGGCUAGUGGUGGAGGUCAAGGCCAUAGGUCAACCUUAAGUCCACCACACCAAGGCAGCAAUGGAAAUGCCGUAAGACAGGCAGACCCAGAGGAAAAGUGAAGGGGCUCCUGUGACCUUUCAGCACCUACCUCCACUGCCUGGGGCAUCCUUUCUCCUCAAGCAAAGGCUGCCCAAAGUCUCUGGGAAUUUUACUCAAUAAUCCCAUGUUCUGGCAAUAGCCAGGCACCAGAACUAACAAAACCACCCUGGACUUAUAAAUACUCCACUCCUGACCCCCACACCCAGAGCAGAUCCUGGCUGAGCUCCACGGCCCACCAUCUCACUGUGACCGCAGUCUGCCAGGAAGGCUGAGUACUCUGGCAGCUCCUGGAGUACAAGUUUGAAGCCAGGAGGCACCGAGUGGACGACUGCUCCGUGCCAAUCAUCAAGUGUAGCACAGAGGCUCUGCACCAUCAGGGGACAGUCUGGCUACCAACGGACAGAAACGCCUUCACCUAGCUAAGUAAGAAACUGGGUAACAGAAAUUUCUGACUGGAAUUGAGAACAUUUGCAACUAUGUAAAUAAAAUUCAAUACAAAUUGCAUGAAAUUUUUAGCUGAAAACUAAAACAAUCCAAACUGAUCAUAGAAAUUAGUCAUAAAGAUGUUUUAGCCAUACAACCUAAAAUGGGAUUAGAAUAAAAGCUGAUGUUCUUAAUUAAGUAAACACCUCCAACGUACAUAAAGAUGGGAGUGAAAAAGAAAAAGCCAAAAUAUUUCCUCCUGAUUUAGCACUCUAAUCAUGCAACCUUGAGGGGGACACUGCCAUGGCUUUCUCAUCCUUUGUCUCUUGAAAGGAUGCCAAAGAGAUCCUCAGAGCAAAAAAUAGUGACUUUCUUUUUCUCCUCUCCUAAAAGUUCUUUCUCUAGAAGCAGAAGUUGUAACUGGGUAAAGAGCUCCAAGGCCCCAUCCCAAACUCAAGCCCAGAGACCUGGGUGAGAAGGAGCUUCUGACACAACUUCAGGAGAUUAAGCUUUCCAGCCAGCUUAGGAAGACAGCUAUUCUCCCCCUUUCAGGGGCAACGUGGCCACUGGGCUAUGAUUAGUAAGUUGUAAGCCAGAGACCCACUGUUGGACUGUUUUCUCAUUUUCCUUCAUUGAUAACACAUCUGGAAGACCCAUUUACCAAACCAUGUUUGAGUAAAAUGUACAACUUCCCACCUAGAAUUAGUCAGACUGGCAAGCUCCCUGCCAGCAGUGAC
rnacentral:lncRNA from 1 species